AAGUCGUAACAAGGUUUCCGUAGGUGAACCUGCGGAAGGAUCAUCAUGGUAUACCACAGCCAUUUUGGCUGGGGCUUGGGCCGUGUGGCUCGCCACAUGGGUCGGCCCCCCCAUUUUGCAUUCCCAGCAAACAGACAGCAAGGCAUGGAUGGCUGAGAGAACGAGGAGCAGAGGGAGCAGACACAACUUUCAACAACGGAUCACUUGGCUCUCA
rnacentral:misc_RNA from 1 species